UACAGAGGUCCCGAGCGUUAUUCGGAUUCACUGGGCGUAAAGGGUGUGUAGGAGGUAUGAUAAGUCUGGCGUGAAAUCCCACCGCUCAACGGUGGAACUGCGUUGGAUACUGUUGUGCUAGAGGACUAGAGAGGUAAGCGGAAUUCUUGGUGUAGCGGUGAAAUGCGUAGAUAUCAAGAGGAACACCAGCGGCGAAGGCGGCUUACUGGAUAGCUCCUGACUCUGAAACACGAAAGCCAGGGUAGCAAACGGG
rnacentral:rRNA from 1 species